UCCUGCCCAGUGACAUAGUUCAACGGCCGCGGUAUCCUAACCGUGCAAAGGUAGCAUAAUCACUUGUCUAUUAAUUGUAGACUAGAAUGAAAGGAAAAACGAAAUAUAGUCUGUCUCUAUAGAUUAAACAAAAAUUAGUAUCUAACUGAAGAGUGUUAGAUAAAAUCGAAGGACAAGAAGACCCUAUAGAGCUUUAUCUAAACAAGAAAUAACAUUCUUUAUAGGAUUCGGUUGGGGCGACCAAGGAUAUCUUUAAUCAUCCUUCAUCAAUAGAUUUAUUAAUCCAAAUUUUGAUCCUAAGUAUAGACAAUAAACCAAGCUACCUUAGGGAUAACAGGCUAAUCCUGCUAGAGAGUCCUUAUCUAAAGCAGGGAUUGGCACCUCGAUGUUGGCUUAGGGGAACUAUGUGACGCAAAAGUCACAUAAAGAUGGUUUGUUCAACCAAUAAAUCCCUACAUGAGCUGAGUUCAGACCGGCGUAAGCCAGGUUAGUUUCUAUCCACGAUAACUAUAAACCUAUCCAUAGUACGAAAGGACCUGGAUAAGGGUAAAUAUUACAACAAAUGAAUUAAUAUAAUAUUUUAUAAUCUUCUAGUACUAAAAACUAUAAGUGUUUUGGCAGAUUAGUGCCACUGAUUUAGGAUCAGUAAAUGGAUUAAACCACUCACUACCUGCAACUUAGUUUAUUUAGAAUAAUCAACUUGCACUUGAUAGGAGAAACUUUCAGUAGCGACUUAGAGUUUUGGAAACAAUAGACCUUGAAAGUCUACAUAAGAUGUUCGAAUCAUCUUUAAGUCUAACAAGAU
rnacentral:misc_RNA from 1 species